rnacentral:rRNA from 1 species
CAGUCGCCGCGGGAAUACGUAGGGGGCAAGCGUUAUCCGGAAUUACUGGGUGUAAAGGGAGCGUAGACGGUUAAACAAGUCUGAAGUGAAAUGCCGGGGCUCAACCCCGGAGCUGCUUUGGGAACUGUAGAACUGGAGUGUCGGAGGGGUAAGCGGAAUUCCCAGUGUAGCGGUGAAAUGCGUAGAUAUUGGGAGGAACACCGGCGGCGAAGGCGGCUUACUGGACGACAACUGACGUUGAGGCUCGAAGGCGUGGGUAGCAAACAGGAUUAGAUACCCCAGUAGUCCCUGUCUCUUAUAC